GCUCCUGUAACUCAGUCGGUCAGAGUGUGGUACUUAUAAGCUGAAAGGCUAUGGUUCAUUGGCUAAGUAAUGCCAAAGUCGCGAGUUCGAAUCUCGCCUGGAGCA
rfam:Vittaforma corneae ATCC 50505 unplaced genomic scaffold supercont1.27, whole genome shotgun sequence.